GUGCGAAAUGCAUUUUUGACUUAAUGAUAUUUCUUUUUUUUUUUAAAGAUUUUAUUUAUUUAUUUGACAGAGAUAGAGACAGCCAGCGAGAGAAGGAACAAGCAGGGGGAGUGGGAGAGGAAGAAGCAGGCUCAUAGCAGAGGAGCCUGAUGUGGGGCUCGAUCACGCCGGGAUCACGCCCUGAGCCGAAGGCAGAUGCCUAACGACUCUGCCACCCAGGCGCCCCUUGACUUAAUGAUAUUUCAACCUACAGUGUGUUUGCCAGAACAUAACCGCAUUGUAUCUCUUCACUCCGUUUAUUCAGAGGGAAGACAGGGGCGGGAGCAGGUGAGUUCAAACCAUGCCUUGCAAGAUGUUCUUCUUAAGGAAAACAAGAUCUCUGAAACUCCAAAUUGCCCGACGGCUCUGUGGAGGUCACCGGGCAGUCUCCCGCAUUGUGAGCAGACCUUCGCGCGCACGUCAGCCGUCAGCGUGAUGGCCAACACGGGCUAUCGAUUUAAUGACAACGAUCACUGCGAGGAAUUGAUCUAAUGCUUUCAUUACACUAAAAAUGCUUUAACAAGUUCAUUCAGAAUCGGGCGAUGGUAAAGGUCCCCUCAGUCCUGACUGUGUCCCCGAAGAAGGGUGACUCAUAGGCGACCUUCUGGGAGAAGAGCUGCCCCCCGUGCGGUGACACAGCUUCACGCCGCGUGGCCGCCUUCUCUGCCGAGACCAGAGACCUCACUGUCUCUGUCAGGCCUUCCUGCUUGGAAAUACUGAGGGCGGCAGGCAGCCGGAGCUCCCUGUCCGGGGGCCCUGCCUCUUCCUUGCCUCCCCCCCGCACCCCCCACACGCAGGCCUUCCUGUCCCAGCUCUUGGACAGGCUCAGCCCCCACUCUGCCUGCUGUCAGUCUGCACACGGGGAGGUUAGCUUACCUCCCUGGUUUCCCCGGCGUGAAGGCCGUCUCCAGCGUGUGCGGCCCUCAGUUUGAGUCCUGACUGCUUCCCAGCCACGGGACUCGGGGCCCCAGACAGAACUGUGGCUGAGCCACGCCUGGGGGACUCAGUCGGUGAAGCGUCCGACUCUUGGUUUCAGCUCAGGUCAUGAUCUCAGGGUCCUGGGAUCGAGACCCAUGUGGGGCUCCACGCUCAGUGCCGAGUCUGCUUGAGUUUCUCCCUCUCCCUCUGCCUCUGUCCCUCCCCCCGCUUGCACUCUCCUUCUCUAAAAUAAAUAAAUGAAUCUUUAAAAAAAGAAAAGAACUGUGGGUGAGAGCCCUGUGUGUAAGGAGGUCACAAGCAUUCAGUGCGAGGUAGCAGGAGGCCGUCUCUCCCCGUGGCCUGGCUGGCACCCUGGGCUCCAGGGCCCCCAGCCAGCUCUUGGGGCUGACGUCUGCCUCGCCUGGCCCCGGUGCCCUUCUCCCGAGCCCUGGUGCCCAGCCUGGCCUUGUUCAGAGGGCUGGCUUUCCGCUUCAGCUGCUGUGCUGAGCCGGCAGUCAGCUAUGGGUCACUUGGUCCCCAUGACUGGACCCACUAUAUCAUUUUUUAGGCCCAGUGUGAAAUGAAGAUGCAAGGCGUGUUCACAAAUCGGGAAAAAUUCCCAGACAGCAACACAGCACGCUCACGGAGCACAGGUGGGGCCCGCCCCGGAGCCCCCCGCCCCACCUGCCAGCCUGUGUCCCAGGAACCGGGGUCAUAGCCACCUUGGGGCGUGGGUCACCUGCCCAGAAGCCCUAGCAAUAGACUACUUGUGGCCCUUCCUUAUGUUUUCUCUUUGCCUGGACAGGGCACCUGACUCUGAGCCUGUGGGGUCUGCUUCCCUAGGGGCCCCUUCAACUGGUCAGGCCGGAGAUCAGACCCACGGGUUCACCGGCCAGCUCCAUAACCCAGAGAGGCCUGAGGCAGGCAAUUUGUUCCUUUGUGGGGUUUUGUGCUUUUUUUUUUUCCCUCAAAAAUGUGUUUCUCAUCUUUUCUCACGUGGCAGGUGAAAUCCACAUGUCUUGGGGGGUGGAGGUAACAAAUAACCCCCAAGCCCU
rnacentral:lncRNA from 1 species